rnacentral:snoRNA from 1 species
AAUCUAUGGUGUGGUUAUUUCCUUAACAUCAUCUUAAAACACUCACAUGCCUCGUAUAGGGAUUCAGCUUCAAAUUAUUUAAAGGUUGUGAUUUCCUGCCUUAACU